rnacentral:rRNA from 1 species
GCCUACGGGGGGCAGCAAUCAGGAAUAUUGCGCAAUGGGGGAAACCCUGACGCAGCGACGCCGCGUGCGGGACGAAGGCCUUCGGGUCGUAAACCGCUGUUGUGGGAGACGAAGGACCGCUUACGGGCGGGAGAGACGGUAUCUCACAAGGAAGCCCCGGCUAACUACGUGCCAGCAGCCGCGGUAAUACGUAGGGGGCGAGCGUUGUCCGAAGUUACUGGGCGUAAAGAGCGCGUAGGCGGUCUCUUAAGUGAUUGGUGAAAUCCCCGAGCUCAACUCGGGAGGGUCUGAUCAUACUGGGAGACUGGAGUGUGGGAGAGGUGAGCGGAACUCCUGGUGUAGCGGUGAUAUGCGUAGAGAUCAGGAAGAACACCCGUAGCGAAGGCGGCUCACUGGACCACAACUGACGCUGAGGCGCGAAAGCCAGGGGAGCGAACGGGAUUAGAUACCCCGGUAGU